CCCGCCUAAGCUUCUCAGGUUGACAGUUUAUCCAUUUUGUUCCCCAUUCUCACCUACAGAAAUAAGAGAAGCCUGUGUCAUCUGUGUCAAACUCACCUGUGCACUCAACCUGAUGCAGUCCCCUUAAGCAAGCCAGUACUUUCUCAGCUGGUGAGAUGCUGUAUGUGGACCAAGGGAAACCUCAGGAGCUGCAGAGAGGUCCUACAGCCUGGAGCAGGCACAGAAACUGACAGGCCAGCUGGUAUUUAUCUAGUGGAAGGCAGGGUAAGGACAGUAAGACUGCCACACUGGGAUGAAAGGAAUUUGGCAUGGGGAAUGAUUGAAAGUAGCUGAUCUCUGAAAUUCUCUGGAGAGUCUUGGAGGUUGUUUCCCCAGGCUCAUAGUUACUGUGGAAGAAGAGAUGACAACCUUCUAAAAAAACCCAGAAGGGAAAAAGAGGCAGAAAGCCUGUCACUUUGUGCUGUGAAAUCUCCAUCAGACAGCAAACUCACCCUGGGACCUGGGAGACCUAGGACACUCAGCUAGGAUGGCUGCCCCUGAGAGAAGCAGUCCUGGUGCCUAGGGGAGCCAGUAUGCCCACAUGGACACCACAGGGCACCUCAAAGGCUGGUGGAAAUUU
rnacentral:lncRNA from 1 species